rnacentral:tRNA from 1 species
GUGCCCGUAGCUCAACCGGACAGAGCACCGGCCUUCUAAGCCGGGGGUUGUGGGUUCGAGUCCCGCCGGGCGCACCA